rnacentral:rRNA from 1 species
UACGUAGGUGGCAAGCGUUGUCCGGAUUUACUGGGCGUAAAGAGCGCGCAGGCGGUCGUUCAAGUCGCGUGUGAAAGCCCCCGGCUCAACUGGGGAGGGUCACGCGAUACUGAUCGACUCGAAGGCAGGAGAGGGUAGUGGAAUUCCCGGCGUAGUGGUGAAAUGCGUAGAUAUCGGGAGGAACACCAGUGGCGAAGGCGACUACCUGGCCUGUUCUUGACGCUGAGGCGCGAAAGCUAGGGGAGCAAACGGG